AGCGGCGGACGGGUGAGUAACGCGUGGGUAACCUGCCCUGUACACACGGAUAACAUACCGAAAGGUAUGCUAAUACGAGAUAAUAUGCUUUUAUCGCAUGGUAAAAGUAUCAAAGCUCCGGCGGUACAGGAUGGACCCGCGUCUGAUUAGCUAGUUGGUAAGGUAACGGCUUACCAAGGCGACGAUCAGUAGCCGACCUGAGAGGGUGAUCGGCCACAUUGGAACUGAGACACGGUCCAAACUCCUACGGGAGGCAGCAGUGGGGAAUAUUGCACAAUGGGCGAAAGCCUGAUGCAGCAACGCCGCGUGAGCGAUGAAGGCCUUCGGGUCGUAAAGCUCUGUCCUCAAGGAAGAUAAUGACGGUACUUGAGGAGGAAGCCCCGGCUAACUACGUGCCAGCAGCCGCGGUAAUACGUAGGGGGCUAGCGUUAUCCGGAAUUACUGGGCGUAAAGGGUGCGUAGGUGGUUUCUUAAGUCAGAGGUGAAAGGCUACGGCUCAACCGUAGUAAGCCUUUGAAACUGGGAAACUUGAGUGCAGGAGAGGAGAGUGGAAUUCCUAGUGUAGCGGUGAAAUGCGUAGAUAUUAGGAGGAACACCGGUUGCGAAGGCGGCUCUCUGGACUGUAACUGACACUGAGGCACGAAAGCGUGGGGAGCAAACAGGAUUAGAUACCCUGGUAGUCCACGCCGUAAACGAUGAGUACUAGCUGU
rnacentral:rRNA from 1 species